ACACCCUCCCUCUCUCUAUCUCGUGCGUCUCUCCCUCCUCACCCCAGAUAGGGUUUCCGCCGCCGCCAGAUAGGGGACGGGGAAGGGGGAAGGGGAGGAACAGAACCAGAGCUAGAGCGAGAUGGCCGGAAGGCUCCUCGGGCAACUCCCCAUCAUGGGCGGCGCCGUCGUUGGCAGGGCCGUGGUGCAGGCCUACCGCCAGGCCAUCGUCACUGAGUGCUCCUUUAAUUUGCCCCCCUACUCCGUAAAAAUGUCUAGGUCGGUCACAGCCAAAAGACGCCUCUUUUACUCCUCUUCAACAUGUUCUGGUGUCCCUUGCUGUCCAAAACUUGAGUGGCGAUGAAGGUGAUGGUGACUGGAUUUUUAUUUCAGCUUGGCUUGAUGGACGUAGUCUGCAUUCUAGAAUGCUACACUGUUAGUUAAGAUGUGAACGAAUGGUGCAAAAAAGUUUCUUGUCUUCCACGUGUUUCUUCUUGUCAUCUAUUAUUAUGAUUAUCAUUUAGAUUGAAGGAUGCACACAGGGAAUUCUAUCUAUCAUUUGAUUAAAAUGAAUGAAACCCGUUCCAUCUUUUUGUUCCAUAAGACCCUGUUUGGAACUGUUUCUUGUGAAAUUUCUCCACAGUUGUAGUCAACUUCAUGGAUUCCACACAACUCCCAAGUCUUUAGAUUAGUAUCUUUGUUUGCCUACCUAUGACAUUCACUAGUUUAAUACAGUAUCUCAUUGGAAAUUUUUGUCAACACUCAUAUGUGAUGUAUUAUUGACCUUAUCCUGCACAGGACGCACUCCUGAUGUGAUUAUAAAAGCUAACCUGGAGAGUCCUUCUUCCUUUAGUUGCUUAUAGAUGCAUAGAGACAUCUGUCUGACUAUUUGUCUGACCAACAUGCAGCUUUCCGGUUGCAACUAAUAAUUCCUGAUUUGUCUUGUAGAUGCAUAGAGAACCGGAGCUGCCCAGGAAGCUGUGAACGGUAUUCGAAGGGCGAGCAAGGCCAUGACCGAGCAAGAAGCCCGGCAAAUAUUGGGUAUCAGUGAAAAGACGAGUUGGGAAGAGAUCAUGCAGAAUCAUCACUCGCCAUGGAGCUCCGAUCAUACAGCUGCCGCACCUCGACAGAAUCCCCGGAGGAUGAGCGUCUGAGGAUCCCAGAGUUGGGAGUAGCUGUUGAUGACUAUAGAUUAUGCACCCAAUGCCAAGAUUUACGAAGCACCCCCCUCGUUUUAUGUGGCUACUACCCUGCUAAAUUGCUCGUCUCAAUUUCCACAGUAGCUUGUAGUUGCAGAGAUGGAAGGCCUUGACCAGUUAGCAAGGCCCAGGACGGGGAAGCAGUAGCAGUAGAGGCCGGCGCGGGGAACUAGGAGCAGCACAGGCUGGCACGGGAGCCAGAGGCGACGCCCACCACCACCAGAAGCCGACAACCGAAGCGGAAGAAGGCCAGGUCGCCUCCGUGGUCGGAGCGGCGGAGCCACAGGUGGGCAGCAACAGCAGCAGGUGCACGGAGAAGGUGGGCGGCCGAAGCGGCGGCGUAGGUGCGCCACAGCAGGAGGUGGGAGGACGUGAAGGCGGCGCAGGUGGGCGGCCUUGGCGGAGGCGGCGUCGCAGGUCGCCUCCGUGGCGGCAACGCGGGUAGGAGUAUUCAAUAAAAUGUGCACAUCACAUUUAUUUGUAUAACUACACACUAGCACCAAAUUCCACACCACCAGCCCCUCCUCUCUCUUCCCCGGUGACCUCCAUAGCUGAGUUGGACAAGGGUCCCUCCCCAUGUAUGGUUGUUGUUUUAGUUAGGGUCAAUAAAUUGGAUUUGGUUUGAGCUUGCCCCUGUACCUCUCCUUCUAGAUCUGUUACACUCAAGAAUCAAGAUAGCUACCAUGUAUUAUAAAAUUCUUGGCUGAUGUUGUAGGUGUUUAUCUAUUAUA